rnacentral:lncRNA from 1 species
GAAUCUUGAAAAUGGGCUGAAAUGAAACAUCGUGGACCUGAGCACCCAGGACAGUAGGGGUGAAGUUGGGAAGCCCGGGAGCCCAUCUUGGAACACGAGGAAGUUGGGGGCAGGAACUCUGAAAACAAAAUUGGCUGGUUUUGGUUCUCCCUCCUCACCCUGGAUCCGGUAUAGGAAUCACAAAUGGAUGAUUGGGGAUGAACCUUCAAGGAAAAUGUCUGUCUCUCUCCACCAGCAUCAACUGUAAGAGAGAAUUUGGGGCCUGAAGAUUAAAAGAUUUGCCCCGUCUCUGAUCUGUAUUACAAGGACUCUUUGAAGUUAUGUUCAGGAAAGGCUGUACUAAAAACAGGAUAAUUUAAACUAGAAUGGAAGUGUAAGAGUUGGGUAUUUUUUGUACAAACUGACAGUGGUAGAGCUGAGGGGGAAAUGGAGCUUUCUCAACUCUAAUCCACCGGUCUGAAUUCAGCCCAGGUCAGUAGUGGCUGUGGUUCAGAUUUUCACAGGACACUUAAGGGAGUUAGAUGGCAUGCUGCUUUAGGCUCCUUUUGAAAAUCCCAUCCCUAACCCAUUGCUAUCUGAAGGCUCUUCAGUUGCCCUUUCUGUGAAAUGAGUUAGGGUUUGACCUCCAUGUCUGAGAUACAAUAUUUGCCCAGAUAUUUUUAAAGCUCCUAGUCACUGUAAUACCUGUGGACUUGUACAAAAUUGAGGAUCUGGAUGGUUAAUCAACAUUGGUCUAUUUACUGGUGGGUCCAAAAUUACUUUCCACUCUUCCCAUGUCCAUUGUCUGAUUUCUACUACCAACACCAUUUAAGUUAGGCUGAGAUUUUCAAAUGCACUCAGGAUUUGGACACUCAGUUUCCAUUUAAAAAAUUAAUGGGAAUUUAACAGGCAAAUGCAUAGAUUUGAAAAUCUUAACCUCAAUGUAUUUAAACUGUCUCCUUUACCCUAUAGGUGCACGCUCGCUCGCCUGACACCAGCUCA